AAAAUUUUAAACUUAAGAAACUUAUGCUCUCCAAAAAUAAAUUAUAUUUUAUUCUUGUAACUGCAUAAUGGUAAACUGUGCUUAGUUUUAAAAUCAAUAUAUACACAUUAAACCUAUGUAUAAAAUUAUUGUUCAUAUAUAUACUUAUGUAAACAAAGCUCUUUAAAGGUUGAGACCAUAUUCCCACCAGCCACCAACCCUCUAUUAGUCAAAACUAUUGUUGAUAUGAAAUAGAAAAUGUAUUGAGUUGAUGAGCAAUAUUGCAACUGCAGGCAUAUCAUUAUUAUUAUCAUAUGGGGGGAAAAGGCAUUUCAUCACACGGGGAUAUCUAUAUUAUUACUACUACAAUCCAUUUCUUAAGAUUAAUAGAACCAACCCAUAUGUUUGUGUCUAUCAAUCACUUCAUAGCAUCAAUAAUAUCAGCAAUUUCUACCACUUUUUUUUUUUUUUUUUAUGCACAGCAUUUUCUACUUCAGUGCUGUAUCAGAUUGCUUACCACAUUGCAGAAGCAACUGACCCUUUUAAAUUCACAGAAACACGAAAACUUCCAUAAAAUAAUGUUGUACACAAGGUAUAUUCCUUUUUUUUUUGUGUGUGUGAACACAAGGUAUAUUCCCUACCAUUUAUAAUUUUAAACAACCACAUACCAAUUUAUAACAUUUCAGCCUUCCGAUUCUACUUCUACUUUGCUUAACUACUGACAGGUAACAAUGUUUUCAAAUAAUCUCGCAAUUGGAUUAUCAUAUGAUACUUGUGAUAAGACAAAGCAUAAAGAUAUAGGCAGUCACAGCAUGCCCACAUUUUAGAAAUAAUUCAAACUGCAUAUUACCAUUCGAUUUGAAUCACAAUAUUAGUAUCAAUGUGUCAAUAUACAUUCUUAAAAUUUUCUGAAAUAACAAUGGUGGACUUGGGGUUCCAAAGCUUUGCAUUUCACAUUUUUAUUUCAGAAAAUAAAAUAGCAAUCCAAUCAUUUUAUUCUCAGAAAUAAAAGUAGUCGAUACAAAUCAAAAUUAUAUGCUUGCCACAAAUGUCAGUCUCACAGACACAGUUCAAUGCUUUACAUGUGUUCAUGGUCUCCGGGAGUGUCAGAUCUCUAUUGCUAUUGGCUUGGUUCCAAAGGACGAAUUGGUUAUUGAUACAAUUCGAUAUAGCUAGCCAGCUAAGGAAUUGAUCAAAACAGCAUGCACCCAUAUCAAUCUCUCUUAUUCUCUUUCUCUGAACCAUAUGCCUAAACUCAAUAGUAUCAAAAGACAACAACAGCCAUAGUAGAACGCAUCACAUGGAGAAAGCCUUAAAUUUAAGAUAUUGCUUAGAAGCAUGUUAUUAAAAAACUGAUAUGUGAGAUCCUUAUGAGGAAAACCAUUGCAUUAGUUUUAUUUUAUAUGUUAAGAUCAGAGAUCAUAUACUCCUUCAACACUAGGGAAUGUUGACUCCUUAGCUAAGAAGUAGUCACGAGUCACAACGCGUCACUAGAGAUAGAAUCCAAAUUUAUGUCCCAGUUCA
rnacentral:lncRNA from 1 species